UAGGUCAGAAGCUAGAAUCUAUAUAAAGUCAGCUUUUGAAAAUAAAGACAGACAAAUCUUUUUUUACAUUAUUAUAAAAGAGCUAAGUUGCAAACAACUAUCCUUGAGACCAGACCAUUUUUUUUUAAGCUGAAAUUUUCUAAUAAUUGCAAUGGCAAAACACCAUUUGCAAUUUCUUCCCUCCCACCUCCCAGGUGGUUCAACAAUUCCACUUCCAAACAGCAUUUCCCAUCAGUUUUUAAAAGCUACUUACAAAGUGUUAUUCUACUACCACUUUUAAAUACAUCAAGCACUUCCAAAUAUCUAGAAAGACUAGAUAUUUCAUAUAACUUGUCCACCACAUACACAUCACUGUUAAAUAAAAUUGCACACACAUAACAAUGGUUAUCAUCUGAGGUAUCUUCUAAAUGUGGCCAUUUUGGCCUUGAAUCAUUCCCUCCUCCCUUCCUUCUCUGCCUUCAAUCCAGUGGACAAGUACAGGCACAUGUAAUGCUUAGAGAUGGUCGAACAAAUUCCUAUGCAAAAGUCUUUACAGAAGACAAGUUUUCCUAUGAAUUUUAACACAAAGCGUACAAAAUAUGCUAAUUUUACUACUUUGUCAUACACUGGCAACCUCUUUAACAACUAGAGACUAGAUGUUGAAAAAUUAGGACUAUUUGUCCAUUAUAUAUACUAUAUACAGAGCAAAACAAAAUGCACAAAACGUAUAGAAAAAUGGUGUCUGAAAAUGUCCAAGUAUGAACACACUAGUAUAUUACCUCUUGCAAUUUCUUCCCUCCUACCUCCUCUAAACCAUUGAACAAGUAUACACAUUACUAUACUGCUCACAAAGGUGGCUUCACAAUUCAAUUUCCAAAAGCAUUUCCUAUGAAUUUUAGCAAAAAGAUAUUUACAAAGUGGUAUUUUACUACCUAUACAUUUAACAUACAUCGGGCACUUCUAAACAUCUAGAUAGACUAGAUGUUUCAAGUAAGGAGUUAAUUUGUCUACUAUGUAUACAGCAGUCUUGAAUAAACUGCAAACAUGUAACAACAGUUAUAAUUUGAAAGAGUCUUCCAAAUGUGAACAUUCUGGCCUAGAACCCUUCCCAUCGCCAUCAACCCAGAAGACAUCAAAUUUUCAGAAGACAAUCUUUCCUAGGACUUGUAAAACAAAAUGUACAAAAUAUAUUAGUUUACUAACUCUACUUUUGUCAUACACUGGCAACCUCUUUAACAUCCAGAAAGACUAGAUGUUGUCAAUUAGGACUCGUCUGUCCUUUAUGUACAUUAUAUACACAGAUAAGUAAAACAAAAUGCACAGACAUACAUCUUGCCUCGCUGUAAACAGGAUGGCAUAGAGCUCUCUGCACCUCCCCCUCCUCUCUCCUCCCCUGAACCACUGCACAAACACAAUGAGUAUUACUCAACAGGUGAUUUGACCAUUCCCCCCAAAAAAUAUUUCCUAUGAAUUGUAACAAAAAGGUAUUUACAAAAUGUGAUUUUGCUACCUCUAAUUUUAACAUAUCAGGCACUUCAGAACAUCUAAAAAGAAGAGACAUUUCAAAAAAGCUUAGCAUUGUCAACUAUAUACACAGUAGUGAGGAAUAAAAUGCACACAAAACAAUGGAUAGAAUAUGAAAAUGUCUUCUAAAUAUGACCAGUCUAGCAUAGAACCUUCUUCUCUUCCUUCUCAGGUCUUCCAGCUCCAUGUCAUCUAACCCACUUAACAAACGUGAACGUAUCGCUUCCAGAGGCCGUCUUAACAAUUCCAUUUCCAAAAGUCAUCUCCAGAAGACAUGUAUUUUCUACGAUUUCUUUUAAACAAAUGAGAAUUUACAAGAUGUGUAACUUUCUAACUCUUUUAUCAUAACUCGACAACCUCUUUCCAUCUAGAAGGGCUAGAUGUGACAAAUGUUUUCUAUUAAAAGGUUGGGGUGGAGUUGAGAGCAGCUUUUUCAUAUUAUAUACACAGGCCUUCCAUAAACGGCCAGUAAAUCUUCCCAGAGGGUGGUGGGCAUUUCCAACUGGCCAAACGUGGCCUGUCAUUCUACCAUUUCUCUCUUCCGACAGCAAAGUCUGGUAGAAUGAAGACCAACCGCCCGAUGGCCGCUAACCGUUCCACCCGUCGUUGUUCGGGACUUCGCUCACCUUUCAGGCCCCUUAAGGCCUUUGUCCGUUGUCGUCAGGACUAGGUAGGUCUCGCCCAAUGGCGACAGAGUGGUCACCCGGGAACCGGAUCUGCGCGGCUCCGUGGCCGAAAGAGGCGGCCAAGCCUGCUUGCGUCCCUAGGCCGCCUUCCGGGCCGUCCACGCCUUAAUGGCCUCCGCCGCGCGGCGUUCGAGCGGCCGCCAUACUUCCCGGCCCACCACGCCCGGCGCCGCCCAAAGGCGCUGCGUCCUGGCGGCUCUGCGGGGGUUUCGUCGAGGCCCAGCAGGCUUGGGUCGGGAGACCCGGGUGCCGGCGGGGGCCGGGCUGGGAGACGCCACGGCCGCCAUCAGUCACCGAGGUGGGGUGGGAAAGAGAGGUUCGCUGCGGCUUCAAGGUCUGAGCACAGCCAGUGGGCAGCCACAGCAGAGGCCUCCGGUGUCUGCAGGGCAGAGGGCUCGGCCUGUCCCGAGGCCCCCCAGUUCAUCCGCCGGCCCGGGGCCAGAGGGCCCUGAAGGCGCGGGCUGCGUUCUGCGUCUCUCCGCGAUCUCUGCCGGACCGGAACUAAGACCAGACCAUUUUCUUCUGGAAAAAUCAGAAAUUUGUAUUGAUGAAAAAAAAAAGUUGUUCUUGGCCAAAAACAUCAAUCAGCCUCAUCUCCAGAGUGAUCCUCCAAACUCAGGGAGAAUUGUCAUCCUCCUUAGCCACCUCUGAUGAGUGCAUUGAAGAGGAUGACCUGCU
rnacentral:lncRNA from 1 species